rnacentral:lncRNA from 1 species
GCAGGCUCGGCGUUGGCCUCCGCGGCCCGUGCGAGUGCGCCCUUCUCGGGUCCCCUAGGUCGCGGGGCAGCCGGGGCGGAAGGGGCUUGUUCAUUAUUUUGAGAGUUUGUUGUGAACGUCAUAACCUUUCGUCCUUAAAUAUUGCCGAUACUUGACCUACGCAAGAGACAAUGUCAUGUGAUUCAGCCUAAUAUCUCAGUUGCUUGCUGGGUGCAGUGGCUCAUGCCUGUAAUCCCAGCACUUUGGGAGGCUGAGGCAGGUGGAUCACUCAAGGUCAGGAGUUCAAGAGCAGACUGGCCAAUUGCGCCACUGCACUGCAGCCUGGGUGACAGAGGGAGACUCCUUCAAAAAAAAAAAGAAAAAUCUAGGUUGCUCAAUUAAAAAGAAAAUUAAAUCCAAAAUCCAAAAUGGAAAAGAACCUUAAAUAUAUCUAACGUUUUCUUUUUGAGUGGAAUAUCUAAUUCAUAAUUUCAUUAUUUAUUUAAAUUAUCAGUUUUGUUCUGAACACUCUUUAGCUGCAUCUUGUCAACUCUAAUGUCAUGUUUUCAUUUUUUUCUAGAAAUUCUCAUUAGCAAUUGAUAUUUCCCUUUGAGACAAGCUAUGUUUAAUAGGAAAAUUUUAAAUUUCAAAAUGGGGCUUUCUUAUGUUUUGAUUAUAAAUUUCUGGUUUUAUCAUAUUAUGGUGAAUAUUUAGAUCAUUUUUAUGUGAUUUACUGGGGCAUACAUGUCUGUAUUGUAAAUUAGAGUCAAUUUUCUAAGUGUUUUUGUAUUUUUUUGUCUAAUUAAGAGAAAUGUACUAUAGUCUGCUAUUAUUAGUGUAUUUCAAUUUCUCUUUGAAUCUCUUAUAAUUCCUACUGUAUGAAAGUAGCUGCUGUGUUAUUCACUGCAUACCUUUUCAUAAAUCUUUUAUUUUCACUGGGAAUUGUAGCCUUUAGGAUUAUAAGAUGUUCUUUGUCUCAAUAA